UACGGGGGGGGCAAGCGUUGUUCGGAAUUACUGGGCGUAAAGGGCGCGUAGGCGGCCAUCUAAGUCAGACGUGAAAUCCCUCAGCUUAACUGGGGAACUGCGUCUGAUACUGGAUGGCUUGGAUUCGGGAGAGGAAUGCGGAAUUCCAGGUGUAGCGGUGAAAUGCGUAGAUAUCUGGAGGAACACCGGUGGCGAAGGCGGCAUUCUGGACCGAUAUUGACGCUGAGGAGCGAAAGCCAGGGGAGCGAACGGG
rnacentral:rRNA from 1 species